rnacentral:tRNA from 1 species
GGUCGCGUAGCUCAGCUGGAUAGAGCAUCUGCCUUCUAAGCAGACGGUCGAAGGUUCGAAUCCUUCCGCGAUCACCG